UACAGAGGUCCCAAGCGUUGUUCGGAUUCACUGGGCGUAAAGGGUGCGUAGGCGGUCUGUCGCGUCGGCUGUGAAAACCCGAGGCUCAACCUCGGGCCUGCAGUCGAUACGGGCAGACUAGAGUGCUGUAGGGGAGACUGGAAUUCCUGGUGUAGCGGUGAAAUGCGCAGAUAUCAGGAGGAACACCGGUGGCGAAGGCGGGUCUCUGGGCAGUAACUGACGCUGAGGAGCGAAAGCGUGGGGAGCGAACAGG
rnacentral:rRNA from 1 species